rnacentral:rRNA from 1 species
CGAGGAGCUUGCUCCUCUGAUGUUAGCGGCGGACGGGUGAGUAACACGUGGAUAACCUACCUAUAAGACUGGGAUAACUUCGGGAAACCGGAGCUAAUACCGGAUAACAUGUUGAACCGCAUGGUUCAACAGUGAAAGACGGUCUUGCUGUCACUUAUAGAUGGAUCCGCGCCGCAUUAGCUAGUUGGUAAGGUAACGGCUUACCAAGGCAACGAUGCGUAGCCGACCUGAGAGGGUGAUCGGCCACACUGGAACUGAGACACGGUCCAGACUCCUACGGGAGGCAGCAGUAGGGAAUCUUCCGCAAUGGGCGAAAGCCUGACGGAGCAACGCCGCGUGAGUGAAGAAGGUCUUCGGAUCGUAAAACUCUGUUAUUAGGGAAGAACAAAUGUGUAAGUAACUAUGCACGUCUUGACGGUACCUAAUCAGAAAGCCACGGCUAACUACGUGCCAGCAGCCGCGGUAAUACGUAGGUGGCAAGCGUUAUCCGGAAUUAUUGGGCGUAAAGCGCGCGUAGGCGGUUUUUUAAGUCUGAUGUGA